GACGAACGCUGGCGGCGUGCUUAACACACGCAAGUCGAGCGGUAAGGCCCUUUCGGGGGUACACGAGCGGCGAACGGGUGAGUAACACGUGGGUGACCUGCCUCUAGCUCUGGGAUAAGCCUGGGAAGCUGGGUCUAAUACCGGAUAUGACCUCGCGGUGCAUGUUGCGGGGUGGAAAGCCUUGUGCGGCUAGGGAUGGGCCCGCGGCCUAUCAGCUUGUUGGUGGGGUGANGGCCUACCAAGGCGACGACGGGUAGCCGGCCUGAGAGGGCGACCGGCCACACUGGGACUGAGACACGGCCCAGACUCCUACGGGAGGCAGCAGUGGGGAAUCUUGCGCAAUGGGCGAAAGCCUGACGCAGCGACGCCGCGUGAGGGAUGACGGCCU
rnacentral:rRNA from 1 species